rnacentral:rRNA from 1 species
UACGUAGGGUGCAAGCGUUGUCCGGAAUUAUUGGGCGUAAAGAGCUCGUAGGCGGUCCGUCACGUCGGCUGUGAAAACCCGGGGCUCAACCCCGGGCCUGCAGUCGAUACGGGCGGACUAGAGUUCGGCAGGGGAGACUGGAAUUCCUGGUGUAGCGGUGAAAUGCGCAGAUAUCAGGAGGAACACCUAUGGCGAAGGCAGCUCUCUGGUACGUGACUGACGCUGAGACGCGAAAGCGUGGGGAGCAAACAGG